GUUGCUGUGGCUCUUGUGCAGGCCAGUGGCUAUAGCUCCGAUUAGACCCCUAGCCUGGGAACCUCCAUAUGCCAUGGGAGCACCCCUAGAAAAGGCAAAAAGACCAAAAAAAACAAAAGACUGGAUAAGCAAUGAGGUUCAGCCGAACAGCACAGGGAAUUCUAUCCUGUCUCUUCAGAUAGAACUUGAGAGAAUGAGAAAGAAGCAGUGGGGCAUAAUCACAACGGAAUAUUACUCAACCAUAAAAAAGAAUGAAACCAUCUCAUUCGCAGCCACGUGGAUGAACCUAGAGAUUCCCAAUGGAAGUCAAGUCCGUCAGAAAGAGAAGACAAACACGUCAGCGUAUAUGGAAACACACACAUCCUGCUCUGACAAACCUGUGGGUUAACGAGCCACCAGGUCAGCCUAUACAAGACCUUAUCCCUUCAGAGUCCAAGGCUUUGGGGAGCUGAGUGCCCAGAAAACAGGGCUAGAGGCUACAUACAUCCUUCUUGUGCUCUCAGGGAGUGUGGACAGGAGUUUCUCUUGUGGGGUCACCCGUCCCCUCUGGGGGCUUCCCACUCAUGCCCAGAAUUGUCCUCCUGCAGGAGGAGGAAGCAGGGUCCCUCAGGCAUAUGAACCCGACACUGUUGGGUCCCAGACUCUGGCCUCACCCCUCCUGCCUCUCAGCUGGAGCAGAACCCAGUCAAGGAGGACCCUCAGCCCCAGAGCAAACGGUUUGCAGACAGCGUCUUGGGGACACAGGCAGGGUGGUGCAGCCUCCUGAGCCAAGCCCAAGCCUCUGGAAGAAAGCUCCCUUCUAAGUAACAGCCGAGAGCAAAACCCAAGACCAUUCAAGUGAGAGGCAGAGAACAAGAUGAGCCUUGUGGUCACAGGGGGUGGGGGAACUGGGGGAAGCUGGUGCAAAGGGUCCUUCUCCAGUUAGAGGAUGACUCAGUCCUAGGGGUUUGACGGCCAACAGGAUACAUUUAACCUACACGGCCGGACACUGUAGAGCAGGUUUACUCAAAGUCAACCUUAAGAGUUCUCAUCACAAGAAAAAAACUUUUUCUCAGUCUUGAUUUGGGUUUCUCCAGGAAAUAGUCAUUCCGUAAAAUUUUUCUAGCCGUCAUCUCACGAUGUAAGUCACAUGACCAUGCUGGACACGUGAGGCUAACCCGGUGCUGUGUCCCUUCUACUGCAAACGUGGAAGAAAAGUGGGGGAAUGUAUUCACCAGUACUUUGCAUCUGUGCAGACUUGUGCAGACUCAGACCCAACAGGAGGUAAGAGAGCAUGAAGGAAAGCUUGGGUCAGGUGUGUCUAGAAAUAUGGAGUCGCUCUGCUGUGUAACAUGCACUGAAACAGUGCUGAGGGUCUAUUCCAAACAACUUGUAGAAAAUGAGACGGAGGAGUUCCCCCUCGCGGCUCAGUGAUAAGGAACCUGAGUAGGAUCCGUGAGGAUCUGGGUUUGAUCCCUGGCCUCGCUCAAUGGGUUAAGGAUCUGGCUGUGGCUGUGGCACAGAAGAGCAGCUGCAGAUAUGAGCUGAACCCUAGCCUGGGAACUUCCAUAACCUGCAGGUAUGGCCCUGACAAAUAGGAAAAAAAAAAAAAAAAAAAAACCACCAGCACCAAAAAAAAAACUCAAGAGAACUGAAAAUAGAACGACCACAUGAUCCAUCAAUCCCACUACCUGGGCAUCUGUCCAGAAAAAGCCAUAAUUGGAAAAGAUACCUGCACUCCUGUGUUCACAGCAGCACUAUUCCCAAUAGACAAGACAUGGAACCAACCUAAACGCCCAACAGAGCAUGAAUAAAAAAGAUGUGCUCCAUACCCA
ensembl:lncRNA